CCGGAGUAGCUCAGUGGCAGAGCAUUCGGCUCAUAACCGAAAAGGCGAGGGUUCGAUUCCUAUCCUCCGGAC
rnacentral:tRNA from 1 species